UACGGAGGAUCCAAGCGUUAUCCGGAUUCAUUGGGUUUAAAGGGUGCGUAGGCGGAAUGAUAAGUCAGUGGUGAAAUCUCAGAGCUUAACUCUGAAACUGCCAUUGAUACUGUCAAUCUUGAGUACAUUUGAUGUGGGCGGAAUGUGUCAUGUAGCGGUGAAAUGCUUAGAUAUGACACAGAACACCGAUUGCGAAGGCAGCACACAAAACUAUAACUGACGCUGAGGCACGAAAGCGUGGGUAUCAAACAGG
rnacentral:rRNA from 1 species